CAAAAUCUAACCUUGAGAUCAUGGGUCCUUUGACCAAGUCUGGAGUGGAAGAGGUAACCCUUGGAGGCUAAGACCUGUUGCUUCAUGAACAGGUUUCUCUCUCCUAAGUUUAUUCUUGUCUUCUUGUACUUACCAAAAGUUCUCUGUUUUCCUUUAUCUUGGCUUAGACUUCUCUCUGUGAAGGUGUGCUAUUGUGAGCUGGUCAAGAUUUGCUGACUAUGAAUAGAGAUUAUUCUUUUAGCAUCUUCAGUGCCAAAGUUCUACUUCAGAAUUUCUUUUUUGAUGCACUUUUUCUCAAGGUGAAGUGUCUAAAUCUAGGAACUGGGGAAAAUGGCGGAGACUCAUUCAUUGUUGUCCUAAGACCUCCCCUCUCCUGGUCCUACUGUGGUUGCGUUGGGAGCCUCUCAUCCACGGCUUUCAUGAAGCUGUUUAGUCUGGAGUGGUGGGGAUGCAGAAGGACCCUCCUGCUGUUUCCAUCAUCUCUUGGAGAUGGUAAAGGUUGGUACCUUUUCUGGGUAAUUAUUCAUCCUAGGAGGGAGCACUCCAGGGACAUGUAGUGUUCUGGACUUAAGGGAACUCACCAGGCCAUGCGGCAUCUUUGGGAGAUCUAGAGGAAGCCUGGUCAUCGGCUCCCCUGAACUCUUUCCAAUUGAAGUUUGAAGGCAGUGACAGGAGACCUGUUCUCCAUUUUAACAAACAAGAUAAAGUAAUGUCUGGUCACAAGGACAUAUAACAAAGAAGACUUACUAAGCAGAAGAGGAUAAAUGAUUGGGUUUGUCUGACUUCACACGUGCACAAAGCAAAGUGGAGAACUGAGUCAAGAACUAGACUCUGUUUUUUUCAUUAAUUGCCUGAUGUUUCUCAUUAUAUUUCCCAGAUCAUCUUGGUAGGCACAGCAAGAAAAUAAACAUACAUCAUUGUUCAUUCUUUAUUUACUAAGCUCUAUGUUUGUGAUAUGUGAAAGAAAUUUUAACAUAACAGUUGGUGUUUUGGGAAAUAAAGCUUGUAAGUCUAAUGGAUUGAGACAUCAAAUAGUCUUGUGCUAAGUAAAACUUUUCUUGUGUGUAUGUUCAAUAUCUUCCAGUUCAAUUUGUUUACAAUUUCAUGAUAAUACAAAUAAACCACUCUUAUUAAGCACUAGCCACACUGAUCAAUGUUUUGAACAUUUUACAUAAUUCAACUUACUUAAUCUUCACAAAAAUUAUUUGAAGGGACUAUGAUUAUAAAUAUUUAACAAAAUCAAGGCCCUAUUAUAAAUAUUUUACAAAAAAUGA
rnacentral:lncRNA from 1 species